rnacentral:rRNA from 1 species
UACGUAGGGUGCAAGCGUUGUCCGGAAUUAUUGGGCGUAAAGAGCUCGUAGGCGGUUUGUUGCGUCGGCUGUGAAAUCCCGAGGCUCAACCUCGGGUCUGCAGUCGAUACGGGCAAACUAGAGUACUGCAGGGGAGACUGGAAUUCCUGGUGUAGCGGUGAAAUGCGCAGAUAUCAGGAGGAACACCGGUGGCGAAGGCGGGUCUCUGGGCAGUAACUGACGCUGAGGAGCGAAAGCGUGGGGAGCGAACAGG